CCGGGUUUCCGAGCGGGAAGUUCAGAUGUUCAGUGUUGUUGUUGUUUACUACUCAUAUACUCCGUUUACCUCAGUCAACACACACAUAAAAAACACGUUUAGAAGGAAGUUUAACUGAGAUCUGCAACCAUGAACAGUAACGCAGAGGAGAGGAGCGACUCUGCUGCACCCAAAGGUUUCGGACAGUGUACCUACACAGCCGAGGAGUACCAGGCGGUGCAAAACGCUCUGCAGAGGAAGCUGGGACCAGAGUACAUCAGUACUAGAGUGGCUGGAGGAGGACAGAGGG